GGCAAGUCUUUUCAUGAUCUGA
rnacentral:miRNA from 1 species